rnacentral:tmRNA from 1 species
GGGGCUGACCGGUUUUGACAGCAUAGGUCUUUGAGAGUGUAAGCAUGUCGUGCGUUGGAUAAUUAGCACGUUAAUCUGAAUAUUCAAACCAUAAAUGGCGAAACUUCUUUCGCUAUGGCUGCCUAAUCUGAUUAGAUAGUCAUAAUGGCCGCUCAUUCCAGGUAGAUUCGUAACCUACGUUGGGCCGCCUACAUCAGCGAAUACGAAUUGCUGCAGAGGAAUGCCGUGACUUCUGCUUAAGACUUAUCCGGAUAAGGGAGGAAUUAGUUUGUUCUGUUCUUGUUCUUCCUCGAAAACUAAUUCAGAAAUAAGCAUGUAGAAAGCUUUUGAUGAAUAUGUUUGGACAGGGGUUCGACUCCCCUCAGUUCCACCU